GCGCUUGCUUCGGCAGCACAUAUACUAAAAUUGGAACGAUAGAGAAGGUUAGCGUGGGCCCUGCGCAAGAACGACACGGAAGCAUCCGCGUGUUUCAGUCACCUU